UCCCUAUAAAUACAUGUAAACGAAGCAGCUUAUUUGCAAGCAGUGCGCAAGGAGAAAUAAACACAAGAUAGAACCAGGAAUAGAAGUGAGCGAUCUCUUUGUCCAGAUCAUGGCACUGGUCAAGAUGAGCAGCAGCAGGGCCGUGUACUCCAUGGCAGUCGCUCUCCUGGUGCUUGCAAUGCUUUCUUCUACCUUCGAAUCUUGCCAAGCAGCUGACACUACUCCUCAAUCUAAGGGUCAGAAAUGCCAGCACCAUUUUCCUUGCACUCAGAUUGAGAAUUGCCGCGCAUUAUGCGAAGCACAAGAACCUGGGAAGGGUGUUCAUGCCAAAUGCAAGAACAAACACACGUGCUGCUGCACUUGACGCUUUAAAUUAGGUUGACGGCCUAAGAUGCCAAAUAAAUCCCAUAUUGAUCUGAUUUGUAGAGCAGUCUUGUGCAACAAAAUGCCCAGUGCCAUAUAUAUAAUAAAAUAUCUCUACCGCAUAAUAUUUAUAUGAGAUUUUUAGAA